rnacentral:rRNA from 1 species
GACGAACGCUGGCGGCGUGCUUAACACAUGCAAGUCGAACGGAUCCUUCGGGAUUAGUGGCGGACGGGUGAGUAACACGUGGGAACGUGCCCUUUGGUUCGGAACAACUCAGGGAAACUUGAGCUAAUACCGGAUAAGCCCUUCGGGGAAGAUUUAUCGCCAUUGGAGCGGCCCGCGUCUGAUUAGCUGGUUGGUGGGGUAAAGGCCUACCAAGGCGACGAUCAGUAGCUGGUCUGAGAGGAUGANCAGCCACACUGGGACUGAGACACGGCCCAGACUCCUACGGGAGGCAGCAGUAGGGAAUCUUGCGCAAUGGGCGAAAGCCUGACGCAGCCAUGCCGCGUGAAUGAUGAAGGUCUUAGGAUUGUAAAAUUCUUUCAGCGGGACGAUAAUGACGGUACCCGCAGAAGAAGCCCCGGCUAACUUCGUGCCACGCCGCCGCGGUAA